GCAAGGUGAGAGCACUGAAGCAUGUUUCUGCUGUGGAUGGAUUAUUCAUGACCACGGGAAUUAUUGUGAGUUUUUUUUCUUCUCUUCUUUGUAUCACAGGAAUGGAUGCCUUUAAGCCCGGUUGGGUGUGAGACGGGAUGGAGACGGUGAGACGUGACGUGAGGGCUGCAGCGGUGACCUGGAAGGAGGGACUGGAACGCAGUGCAGACUCAGAGGUCUGGUCACCAGCUAGCAAGGUCAAGGACCAUGGAGAGACUCUUCAACCUCCACGCCAGACAGACGGACGGAUGGAGGAGCAGAGAGUAGACCCAGCGCCAAGAGACAGGCAUGAGGCCUCUCCGUCUAUCUACAGGACAAAGACAGUAGACAUGAGGCCUCUCCAUCUAUCUACAGGACAAAGACAGUAGACAUGAGGCCUCUCCGUCUAUCUACAGGACAAAGACAGGAGACAUGAGGCCUCUCCGUCUAUCUACAGGACAAAGACAGUAGACAUGAGGCC
ensembl:lncRNA